GUAGGGUGCAAGCGUUAAUCGGAAUUACUGGGCGUAAAGCGUGCGCAGGCGGUUGUGUAAGUCAGAUGUGAAAUCCCCGGGCUCAACCUGGGAAUUGCAUUUGAGACUGCACGGCUAGAGUGUGUCAGAGGGGGGUAGAAUUCCACGUGUAGCAGUGAAAUGCGUAGAUAUGUGGAGGAAUACCGAUGGCGAAGGCGGCCCCCUGGGAUAACACUGACGCUCAUGCACGAAAGCGUGGGGGGGAGCAAACAGGAUUAGAUACCCUGGUAGUCCACGCCCUAAACGAUGUCUACUAGUUGUCGGGUCUUAAUUGACUUGGUAACGCAGCUAACGCGUGAAGUAGACCGCCUGGGAGUACGGUCGCAAGAUUA
rnacentral:rRNA from 1 species